AGAUAUACUGACCUAAAAGUAUUAAGAAUGUGAAGGACAAGUGUAUUUUUAAGCUACACUUGAGAGUGUCCCUGUGAUAACAAUACGGAAGCCUAGCAUAACAUCAGGGAGUACUGAAGAGGAUCAUGUUACCUGAACAAGUUGUUAGAUACAGUCAAUUAUGCUGUGUGGCAUAUGUAUUCCUAAAAUGUACUGUGCUAUGCAAAAUCACACAAUGAAAAGCGUGAAUGUUAAGGUGGAGAUGAGGUGAAGUGUAU
rnacentral:lncRNA from 1 species